rnacentral:rRNA from 1 species
AAGACCUUGCGCUUUUGGAGCGGCCGAUGCCUGAUUAGCUAGUUGGUGGGGUAAUGGCCUACCAAAGCUUCGAUCAGUAGCUGAUCUGAGAGGACGGCCAGCCACACUGGGACUGAGACACGGCCCAGACUCCUACGGGAGGCAGCAGUGGGGAAUUUUGGACAAUGGGCGCAAGCCUGAUCCAGCCAUGCCGCGUGAGUGAAGAAGGCCUUCGGGUUGUAAAGCUCUUUCAGCCGGGAAGAAAAGGUUGCGAUUAAUAAUCGCAAUUUAUGACGGUACCGGAAGAAGAAGCACCGGCUAACUACGUGCCAGCAGCCGCGGUAAUACGUAGGGUGCGAGCGUUAAUCGGAAUUACUGGGCGUAAAGGGUGCGCAGGCGGUUUUGUAAGUCAGAUGUGAAAUCCCCGGGCUUAACCUGGGAACU